rnacentral:rRNA from 1 species
GGRUUUCACCAGAAGUAGGURGCYUAACCGCAAGGAGGGCGCUUACCACGGUGGGRUUCAUGACUGGGGUGAAGUCGUAACAAGGUAGCCGUAGGUGAACCUGCAGAAGGAUCA